rnacentral:lncRNA from 10 species
AAGCUUUAAAAAAAAAAAAGAUGCCCCACAGAGAUUCUGAUUUUAAUUGUUCUGAUUUAAUUGGCUUGGAGUAGAAUUCAGGCAUUGAUAUCUUUAAAAACUCCCCAGUGUUGAGAAACAAAUUUAGAGAGUUGAGAAGUAGGUAUAUUAAAUUACAGAAUCUUACUGAGUUUUGGUAGACUGAUAAUACAAUUUGCUUUGCUUUUCUUAAAUUUGCAUUGAGAUGGGAUUUGAAGCAUAUUGUGCUCUUGUGAAUGUUGAAGUUGCAUUGUAGAAGUUUAGAAGCUCUGGCUAUGGGUUGCCUAAAUUGAUGUUUUGAGGAAGCAUAUUAAUGUUAUAAACUUCGCUGACUUUGAAGGUUGUGUUGUAGCAUGAGGAACACAAAUAAAACAAUUCUAAAUCAAACUAAUUUUAUAUCUAACAUGUCCCCAU